ensembl:ncRNA F46C8.21 ncRNA
ACCACCACCUUCUCCCCCGCUUCUUCUUCUUCUGCUUCAUCUUCUUUUUCUUGCCUCACUCACUCAUUGGCUUCUGCUUCCAGCCGUCAUUGAGGUGCGAUGAAAAAACUCUUGGAUGUCGAGGGAAUGAGAGAAUGAGAGUG